UAAAGUUAUGGUACCGAAGUCC
rnacentral:miRNA from 1 species